GUUUGCGUAGUUCAAUGGAUAGAACAUUGGCCUCCGAAGCCGAAGAUUCGGGUUCGAGUCCCGACGCGAGCGCCA
rnacentral:tRNA from 1 species